AGAGUUUGAUCCUGGCUCAGGAUGAACGCUAGCGGCAGGCUUAAUACAUGCAAGUCGAGGGGCAGCAUGACUGUAGCAAUACAGUUGAUGGCGACCGGCAAACGGGUGCGGAACACGUACAGAACCUCCCUUCGAGCGGGGAAUAGCCCAGAGAAAUUUGGAUUAAUACCCCAUAGCAUAACGGAGUGGCAUCACUUUGUUAUUAAAGAUUUAUCACUUGAAGAUGGCUGUGCGGCUGAUUAGGUAGUUGGCGGGGUAACGGCCCACCAAGCCUGCGAUCAGUAACUGGUGUGAGAGCACGACCAGUCACACGGGCACUGAGACACGGGCCCGACUCCUACGGGAGGCAGCAGUAAGGAAUAUUGGUCAAUGGACGCAAGUCUGAACCAGCCAUGCCGCGUGGAGGAUGAAGGUCCUCUGGAUUGUAAACUUCUUUUAUAUGGGACGAAAAAGGGCCUUUCUAGGUCAACUGACGGUACCAUGUGAAUAAGCACCGGCUAACUCCGUGCCAGCAGCCGCGGUAAUACGGAGGGUGCAAGCGUUAUCCGGAUUCACUGGGUUUAAAGGGUGCGUAGGUGGGUUGGUAAGUCAGUGGUGAAAUCCCCGAGCUUAACUUGGGAACUGCCAUUGAUACUAUCAGUCUUGAAUAUUGUGGAGGUCAGCGGAAUAUGUCAUGUAGCGGUGAAACGCUUAGAUAUGACAUAGAACACCAAUUGCGAAGGCAGCUGGCUACACAUCUAUUGACACUGAGGCACGAAAGCGUGGGGAUCAAACAGGAUUAGAUACCCUGGUAGUCCACG
rnacentral:rRNA from 1 species